AAUCAGAAUUCCUAUGAUCAUUUACACAUUUGUUCAGAAGCUGAGUGGGUAGUUUCCAAUGAGUGCAAUCAUUCUAAAAUAUGUAUUUUAGGCUUAAGCUUGAAAAUUCAGACUUACAAGCCACAACAAAACAUGAGGCAGAAGAAAUUGAACAGAAUCGGAGAACCCAAACUUCUGAAAUCACUACAUUGCUUAUCAGACAGAAUGCAUUGAUUCAGUUAUUGACCCAUAAUUUUGAGUACAGGAAGAGAACAAAUAGUGAACUAGAAAAAGAAGUAACCAGAUUUAAGAAGCAGUCAGAUGAAUGUGAAAAUGGAGAGCCUGCUGUUUUUAGUGCUUCAAGUACAAUUCACUGGGAAAAGGAAAAGAGGCAAGCUGUCCCUGACAAGUAUAAAGAGCAAGUAAUGAAAAUGAAACAAAGUAUCAAAGAUAUGCAAAAAGAGAUACUGGGAAUGAAAUCUCGGGAGCAUUCUACUAAAGUAUCCCUGGAAAUGUAUAAGCAAUUCUAUAUAGCGGAACUGAAUGCUAGAGAAGUACUGAAAGAGGAACAUGCCAAUCUUUCCAGUACUAAUAAGAGGCUACAGCAUGAAAACUCAAGGCUUGCCUUUGAGAUUACGAAGUACAGACAUGUAUACAACCAUGAGGACAGAGAUUCCGCCACAACAGGAAUUUCUGAUGGAAAUCUUCAGAAUGAUUUUUGGACUCUACAGAACAGAAACACAUGUUGGAAGCCAUUAUUUCCAAACGAAAGCCUAGAAUCACCUCUUGGAGGCAAAACUUGCUGGGGUAAUUUAAUGUGAUAACAAAGAUGAGAUUGCUGUCAAUCAAGCUGAUCCCAUCAGUAAACCAUUUGACAUUCAGUUGGAUAACCUCUGAGAAAACAUCUAUUCCACUCACAUUGAUCCAUUAAGUAGGCAACCUCAAGAUUCAGGACGUCUUUGUGGAGAUGCCACUGAAGCUGUGAAUUUAAGGGAAAUCAUUGCAAAAAAAAAAAAAAUGACCAUAAAAAAAAAAAUCCCCCAUUGAGUCAGGGGAAGAAUAGAAGAAAGGAUAUGUGAAAGGUAGGGUUUUAGUGGGGGGUGGGUAGGGGAGGACGGGAGGGAGAAGGGAAUUGGGAUUGUCAUGUAAAACAAUCUU
rnacentral:lncRNA from 1 species